rnacentral:rRNA from 1 species
GACGAACGCUGGCGGCGUGCCUAAUACAUGCAAGUCGAACGCAGGGGGGACGGGUGAGUAACACGUGGGUAACCUCCCGUCAGAGUGGAUAACACUUGGAAACAGGUGCUAAACCGAUACUGAAGUAGCGACUCGCGGUGCAUUAGCUAGUGGGGGAGGUAACGGCUCACCAAGGCCACGAUGCAUAGCCGACCGGAGAGGGUGAUCGGCCACACUGGGACUGAGACACGGCCCAGACUCCUACGGGAGGCAGCAGUAGGGAAUAUUGGGCAAUGGACGAAAGUCUGACGGAGCAACGCCGCGUGAGUGAAGAAGGUUUUCGGAUCGUAAAGCUCUGUUGUUAGAGAAGCGGUAUCUAAACAGAAAGCCACGGCUAACUACGUGCCAGCAGCCGCGGUAAUUC